rnacentral:tmRNA from 1 species
GGGGGCGAACGGUCUCGACUGGGAUGGCAGAAGCGAGGCUGCGCGCCGAGGGGGUCCGGGACCUCGUUAAUCAGCCGGACGGCGCAUACACGCCAACACACAGUACGCCUACGCUGCCUAAGUAGCAGCGUACGUCCACCCGGGAGGGCCGGCGGCCCGGGAAGGGCGCCACCAGCCGGCUACUGCGGCGACCGGCCGGCCCGGCCGCCGUCGCGGGAACCCCAGCAGGGCUGGCGUCCGGGCAUCCCGCCCGGGGGAGGGCCUGGACGCGAGAUGCCAAACCCGGGAUACGCGCGUAGACGCCUGGCCCUCGCUCUCCCAGGACGCGGGUUCGAUUCCCGCCGCCUCCACCA